rnacentral:ncRNA from 1 species
CGCCAUCAGGUUGGCUAAGAAGAGGAAGCCUCGUUGCACUUUUGCUUGGGUGAAUGUGGGGAGGGGGGCUUUCCCUAUUACCUUUAUUUACAUCAAUAUCCACUUUUCUCAUAGUAUAUGUUUUGAACUGAGUAAUAAAUAUUUCCUUGCGCAUAUUUAGUAACUCUGGUGGAGGACCGUAGCGAUUCUGCCGUGUAAAUUGAUAGUUAAACGUGAGCGUAGAGGCGAAGGACUACUCCCCAACCAUCUAGUAGCUGGUUCCCUCCGAAGUUUCCUUCAGGAUAGCUGGCGCUCAUUGGUAUAAUCAGUUUUAUCCGAUAUAGAGAAUGAUUUGAGGUUCUGGGUUUGAGGCGGAUUCAUCCCAUUCUCAAACUUUAAUAGGUUGAGAUGCUCGACUCGCUUAUGUUCGCGUUUGACAUAACUGCGCGGAUGUAAUUGCCAAGUGGCGCUGUGGGAUGAACCAAACGUGUGGUUAAAGUGUCUAAUGCUGUCGCGGUUCCAAGCGAUCCGUGACUCUGUACAGUGUCGUGGGUUGCCUCAUACGCUUUUGUGUGUGAGCGUAUGUACUGGCGGCCCCUCGGAGCAAAAGAGAAUCGUGUUAAUAUUCCUGACUCUAUGCUUGCAUCGACGCCUGCACCCCUUGGUGAGCGCUUGAGUAUGAAUUACUGACAUCAUCGAGUGCGGCAACGCAAGCGAACUCGGUGACGUCGCCAAGUGUUCCGGAAAGAGUUUUCAUUUCUUUGUAAGGACAUCUACCACUCCUGGAAUCGGGUUGUCCAGAGAUAGGGGUCUCGCCUCCGUAAAGCACGAGCCCUCUUGUGAUGUCCGGUAAACUCUUGCGAUUUUCGUGGCAGGCCGUACUCAUAUCCGCAUCAGGUCUCCAAGGUGUAGAGCCUCUGGCACUAGAACAAUGCAGGUAAGGGAGGUAGGCAUAUUUGAUCCGUAAACUCGGGAAAAGAAGUGGCUCUGAGGGCUGAGUUAAACAGGCUGAGGCAGAAAAAACUUGCCUGCUUAACUCGCGGCUGGUUCGAGUGUUAGUUCUUACCUUCUGACGUUGCUGUUUCACGCAUUGUCUACUCGUUAGGUGGUGUUAUUAACAGCAGCGGCGGCGGAGAGUUAUGCGCUCAAACUGAAAGGAGGCAGCUAUUACACUCCGAGGCAUUGAGUUCUAUCCCCACUGGAGGUAAAGAUUUGGGGCCUUUAAGU